rfam:Human gut metagenome DNA, contig sequence: F1-T_000769.
UCCAUCGUGAGGUGGAAUCUGACGGAAGCCUAAGGCAAAGCCUUGGUCUGAGGUACACGAAUCACAUUUGAGGCUCAAAGCUAUGGGUAAGCUUGCACGACAAAGUAAAGCCCUAUAACUAUCAGAAAUAGCUAGAGUAAUUGCGGCAGAUAGAUGAGGUGAAAGUGCAUGUU